UAAACUCACUGUCCAUAUAAAAUAUUUAUUACAGCAAGAGUACAGGUCAGUUAGAGAGUGCAGGUCAGUUAGAGAUGAGAGUACAGGUCAGUUACAGAGUGCAGGUCAGUUAGAGAUGAGAGUGCAGGUCAGUUAGAGAUGAGAGUACAGGUCAGUUACAGAGUGCAGGUCAGUUAGAGAUGAGAGUACAGGUCAGUUACAGAGUGCAGGUCAGUUAGAGAUGAGAGUGCAGGUCAGUUAGAGAUGAGAGUACAGGUCAGUUACAGAGUGCAGGUCAGUUAGAGAUGAGAGUGCAGGUCAGUUAGAGAUGAGAGUACAGGUCAGUUACAGAGUACAGGUCAGUUAGAGAUGAGAGUGCAGGUCAGUUAGAGAUGAGAGUGCAGGUCAGUUACAGAGUGCAGGUCAGUUAGAGAUGAGAGUACAGGUCAGUUAGAGAUGAGAGUACAGGUCAGUUACAGAGUACAGGUCAGUUAGAGAUGAGAGUGCAGGUCAGUUACAGAGUGCAGGUCAGUUAGAGAUGAGAGUGCAGGUCAGUUAGAGAUGAGAGUGCAGGUCAGUUAGAGAUGAGAGUGCAGGUCAGUUAGAGAUGAGAGUGCAGGUCAGUUAGAGAGUGCAGGUCAGUUAGAUGAGAGUACAGGUCAGUUACAGAGUGCAGGUCAGUUAGAGAUGAGAGUGCAGGUCAGUUAGAGAUGAGAGUGCAGGUCAGUUAGAGAGUGCAGGUCAGUUAGAGAUGAGAGUGCAGGUCAGUUAGAGAGUGCAGGUCAGUUAGAGAGUGCAGGUCAGUUAGAGAGUGCAGGUCAGUUAGAGAGAACUUCACAGUGAGGAUUCAGUACACAGCGUUUUAUAUCUAAAGGAAGUUUAACAGCAACAGAAAUCAAAAUAAAUUAAAAUGAUACUUUAGUGACAUCAUCAUCAUUAUAAUAUAUUGUCUGUGUGUGUUUAUCUUUGUGUGUGUCUGUGUGUGUGUGUGUUUAUCUUUGUGUGUGUCUGUGUGUGUGUGUGUGUUUAUCUUUGUGUGUGUCUGUGUGUGU